rnacentral:sRNA from 1 species
GCCGGGUGUGGUGGCGCACUCCUGUAAUCCCAGCAGCUCUGGAGGCUGAGGCAGGAGGAUCGUGAGUUCAAAACCAGCCUCAGCAAAAGCAAGGCACUAAGCAACUCAGAGACCCUGUCUCUA